rnacentral:rRNA from 1 species
UACGUAGGGUGCAAGCGUUAAUCGGAAUUACUGGGCGUAAAGGGCGCGUAGGCGGCCUGUUAAGUCGAACGUGAAAUCCCCGGGCUCAACCCGGGAACUGCGUCCGAUACUGGCAGGCUUGAAUCCGGGAGAGGGAUGCGGAAUUCCAGGUGUAGCGGUGAAAUGCGUAGAUAUCUGGAGGAACACCGGUGGCGAAGGCGGCAUCCUGGACCGGCAUUGACGCUGAGGCGCGAAAGCGUGGGGAGCGAACAGG